CCUGAGUGCAUAGGGUGCAUGAGGGCAAGAUGCCUUGGACGCCAGCUGUGAUCUGAGGCUCGGACACGCAGGGUAUGCCUCGGCCCCAUGUUUGUAAUGCUGCCCGACACCUUCUCUUGGUCCGCAUACUCUGCAUACCAAGAUCCAAGUCUCGUGUAUCUAAUUAAUUAACUAAUUAAUUAAAUCAAUAUUUAAUUAACUUUUAGGGAUGGCAAUAGCCGUCGCUAAUACCAUCACUAAUA
rnacentral:lncRNA from 1 species